GAUGAACGCUGGCGGCGUGCCUAAUACAUGCAAGUCGAGCGAAUGGAUUAAGAGCUUGCUCUUAUGAAGUUAGCGGCGGACGGGUGAGUAACACGUGGGUAACCUGCCCAUAAGACUAGGAUAACUCCGGGAAACCGGGGCUAAUACCGGAUAACAUUUUGAACCGCAUGGUUCGAAAUUGAAAGGCGGCUUCGGCUGUCCCUUAUGGAUGGACCCGCGUCGCAUUAGCUAGUUGGUGAGGUAACGGCUCACCAAGGCAACGAUGCGUAGCCGACCUGAGAGGGUGAUCGGCCACACUGGGACUGAGACACGGCCCAGACUCCUACGGGAGGCAGCAGUAGGGAAUCUUCCGCAAUGGACGAAAGUCUGACGGAGCAACGCCGCGUGAGUGAUGAAGGCUUUCGGGUCGUAAAACUCUGUUGUUAGGGAAGAACAAGUGCUAGUUGAAUAAGCUGGCACCUUGACGGUACCUAACCAGAAAGCCACGGCUAACUAUGUGCCAGCCGCCGCAGUAA
rnacentral:rRNA from 1 species